GAUAAGAACGCAGCGAAAUGCGAUAAGUAAUGUGAAUUGCAGAAUUCAGUGAAUCAUCGAAUCUUUGAACGCACAUUGCGCCCGCCAGCACUCUGGCGGGCAUGCCUGUUCGAGCGUCAUUUCAACCAUCAAGCCCCCAGGGGCUUGUGCUGGGGCCCUGCGGCUGCCCGCAGGCCCUGAAAACCAGUGGCGGGCUCGCUAGUCACACCGAGCGCAGUAGCACAUCUCGCUCAGGGCGUGCGGCGGGCUCCUGCCGUGAAACCCCCCACUGUAACCCCAAAGGUUGACCUCGGAUCAGGUAGGAAUACCCGCUGAACUUAAGCAUAUCAAUAAGCGGAGGA
rnacentral:misc_RNA from 1 species